rnacentral:rRNA from 1 species
GUGGGGAAUCUUGCGCAAUGGGCGAAAGCCUGACGCAGCAACGCCGCGUGCGGGAUGAAGGCCUUCGGGUUGUAAACCGCUUUCAGCAGGGACGAAAAUGACGGUACCUGCAGAAGAAGCUCCGGCUAACUACGUGCCAGCAGCCGCGGUAAUACGUAGGGAGCAAGCGUUGUCCGGAUUUAUUGGGCGUAAAGAGCUCGUAGGCGGUUUCGUAAGUCGAGUGUGAAAAAUCUGGGCUUAACCCAGUGGAGCACUCGAUACUGCGAUGACUUGAGUCUGGUAGAGGAGUGUGGAAUUCCUGGUGUAGCGGUGAAAUGCGCAGAUAUCAGGAGGAACACCAACGGCGAAGGCAGCACUCUGGGCCAGUACUGACGCUGAGGAGCGAAAGCGUGGGGAGCAAAAGGGAUUAGAAACCCGUGUAGUCC